rnacentral:tRNA from 1 species
AGGAAGUGGGCAUCAUGCAGAUCGUCAACCUGUUUGAAGACGAAGCUAAUUUUGACCGUUUACGCGCCUGCCGCACCGCGCAGGA